UACGGGGGGGGCAAGCGUUGUUCGGAAUUACUGGGCGUAAAGGGCUCGUAGGUGGCCAACUAAGUCAGACGUGAAAUCCCUCGGCUUAACCGGGGAACUGCGUCUGAUACUGGAUGGCUUGAGUUCGGGAGAGGGAUGCGGAAUUCCAGGUGUAGCGGUGAAAUGCGUAGAUAUCAGGAGGAACACCGAUGGCGAAGGCAGGUCUCUGGGCUGACACUGACGCUCAUGCACG
rnacentral:rRNA from 1 species